GAGCGCCCAGGAAUAAAAAAAAAAUAUAUAUAAUAUAAUAUAAUAAAAUAAAGGCGGCGGAAAGCUCCUAGAAGUGAUUGCUCGCAGGCGCUGUGAGGCACAGGUGUCUCGCUGUCCCCACUGCCAAAAAAGCCCAGUCCUCUUUGAGAUCGACUUGUAAGAUGCACAGUUUCUGUCUUUAGUUUUCUUUCCAAGUUCUCGGUUUUUGCUGAAUGUCGUUACCGAACGAGCUUGCACAUAGCAGGUGUUUGGGAUUCCGUGGAGCUGAAAGGAAAAAACCGUUAGGACUCAACCUGCCUCCAGGAUGAUAACACAUUUUUUUUGUUUUAACAAAAAAAAUUUUUUUUUCUCUUCUUGGACUUAACACUUUGACACGUUCAUUUCACUUUAAUGGUGUUUCGAAAAGGGAAGGAUGAAGUUGCUUUUCUGUUAAUAGUCAUAACGUUUUCCUUUUAAAGGACCUGACUUCCUAAAAUGUGUGCCAAUCCGGAGAAUUGGGAUAUCUAACACCGUGAGAAUGUUUAGAAACUUCGGUUUUCUGUUCACCGUGAUCCACCACAGCGCGGAGGACAGAUCUCGGCCUGUAGUAGGAUAAGCACAUAGCAUCAUAGGAUGUUACCUGAGAAUGUGGGCUGGCAAAACAAGGGAAUUAUCCAAGAAACUGGAGCAGGUUGGCUGUCUGGACCACAGGACCAGCUCAGAAAGGCAAUGAAGCCAAGUCCCAGGAUGACCGGGCAGCGGGCCCAAGAGCCACCCAUCGGAAUGGGCAGGGACCUCAGGGCUGCAGGAGAACUGCCCGGGGAAAGAAAGGAGGCCUUCGAUGUGACAGGUGUCCUGGAAAUGUUGGAAGAACCUAUCCUGAUGACGCCACGAAAGCAGACAAUGCAAGACGAAAGCACAAAGGCCAUUAGAAGCCAAGCGGGGGGUAGGAGCGUAGGACUAAAAGUUUACAAACGCACAAUAUAGUCGUGGAAGACAAGUCACGUGGGCAGAGGACCAUGGUUACGUAGACAUAAGCACUACUCACUAAUUUUCACGUUUACGCUUCGCCUAGAGACAAGGCAGGAAUCUCUUACCUAGGGUUGCAAAACGCAUUUCAAACGUUCAUCAUGAUCAUGUAAAGAGAGCAAGAGAGAUGAAGGGAAAGCCAUGGGUACAAUAGUCUUACUUGGCGAAGUCAUUGAAACUUAUCAUACUGCUCGUAACUGAAACAAGAAGUACGAUUUUAAGAUUAUUAUUCAACAUCACGAAAGUAAUUAAUGGAAAAGCUAACAAAGUGGUAUAAUUUAUGAGGCAUUUCAGGCAGAUUUUGAAGAUUUGAGGUGGUUUGGUUCAUCCCUGCCUGCGUUGGCAGGGAGCGCGCAAGACCUAACACGGACACAUCCCGAAUUAGCGGCCUAAGCCUGUUAUUUAGAAGUAGGCCGGUGCCACUGUGCUAAACAUGCUUGCUUCUGGGGAGCAAGACUGGGAGCCAGAUUGGGCAAGGAUGGGUGGGGGCUCAUUGCUUUGUGUUCAGCCCACUUGAGUUGACCCAUUCGUUUAUAGGACGAACGUUUGCCGUCUGCCAACAGUGUGCCAGGUACACAAACGAAACAGAAUAUUUGGGGACACGGAAUAUUUUCUACCAUGACAAGGCCAAAAGUUGAAAUUAAAUAUUAGCCUUGUUCUUAAAAUGCUUUAUUAGGCAAUCGAUGCCAACCACGCCGUUCCUCCCUUCUCUUGCCCUUGCUCCUAAAGUCAUCCUGUUGGAACACAACCCCUGCAGUCAUCCGACCC